AUUGAACGCUGGCGGCAGGCCUAACACAUGCAAGUCGAACGAGUGGCGGGCGGGUGAGUAAUGUCUGGGAAACUGCCUGAUGGAGGGGGAUAACUACUGGAAACGGUAGCUAAUACCGCAUACCAUCAGAUGUGCCCAGAUGGGAUGAGCUUGUUGGUGGGGUAACGGCUCACCAAGGCGAAGAUCCCUGUCUGGUCUGAGAGGAUGACCAGGCAAACUGGGAAGUGGACACGGUCCAGACUCCGACGGGAGGCAGGAGUGGGGAAUAUUGCACAAUGGGCGCAAGGCCGAUGGAGCCAUGGCGGGUGUAGGAAGAAGGGCUUCGGGUUGUAAAGGACUUUCAGCGGGGAGGCGUUACCCGCAGAAGAAGCACCGGCUAAAUCCGGGGCAGCAGCCGCGGUAAUUC
rnacentral:rRNA from 1 species